UCGCGCUAGACGGGGAGCUGGCGGUGCCCUGUACCCACAAUCCGCCUUAGUGGGGUUGAAAUCCCGCCCUAGGUUUUCACCGUGUGGGGUCCGGUUCAUACAAGAGGUGUUGACGAACAGGUCCUGCGCAACGGGAACCUCUGAACCGUGUCAGGUCCUGACGGAAGCAGCACUAAGGAGAUUCUCCCGUGUGCCGCAGGAGUGCCUGAUCCGAGCUGAUUGUAUGAAGCCCGCCCAGGCGAUGGAAAUCGACGGCGGGUGCGCGG
rnacentral:SRP_RNA from 2 species